UUUUCUGAAAAAGUAACCCAUAUUCCUUUAUGCACAAUUUACCCAGUGAAGAUGGACAAAUUUUUGUUAUCUAUUUCUUUCCAAGUAGUUGCAAGCUCACAUGGGAUCAAACAAGUAACAAAUUGUAAAGUAGCCACAUGGAUUCAAACUGGAAACCCAGUAGCAAUCCAAACUCAGACUGUUUGAAAGUUGUGACCACUGUCUUCAUCAAUGACUAGCAAAAAGAAAUGCACCCCUUCAACUUAAAAGUAAGACCACCCUCUGAAAGCAACCCUACUAAAUAUCAAUACAUAAUGGACGAGACGAACCAUUGGCAGAAAUCGCCUAUCCUGAAACUGGUCUGCACUCAAUAUAUGGCUGAGAAGAUUCACUAUCUUCAGUGUUGGUCGAGUUAUCUAGAGUGAGUCUCAAGGAGACAGGGCUGAUGGAAAUUCGGAAAACAAGGAGUGUAAUUGCUGGGUUGCCUUUCCAACAGUCAUUCCUUUUUCCUUCUGCAACACUGUCAGAACCUACCUUCCAUUAUAGGCUGUGAAAACGCCUUUCCAAAUCUCUCUCACAGCUGAAAAAGUUGAUGCUAUUCUAGCCAGGGAGACAUGAGAGGAAACCUGCUGAGAGUCUUCUGAGAAAAGUUUUUUCUGUGAUUAAUAAUAAAAAUAAUAAUCACCAGAAGAAAGCUUAUCUCUUCCCUGGGCCCAGAGACUAAAGAGCAAACUGGAAAGUCUUCAAAGUGAGUGUGCAAAAGUCAGUGUAAUUUGAACUUCAGAAGAGUUGAUAUUACAAAUCUAUGUUUACUUUUGGAGAAUGCUUUACAGAUCAAAGGGUUGUGUCUAUCUCUUCAGACACUCUCCAAAUCAAACUGUAUUAAAUUAGAAACCAUGUUCGGAGUUCCUGUUGCGGCUCAGCAGCAACGAACCCGACUAGUACCCACAAGGAUGCUGGUUCAAUCCCUGGCCUCGCUCAGUGGGUUCAGGAUCCAGUGUUGCCGUGAGCUGUAGGUCACAGAGGCAGCUGGAUCUGGCAUUGCUGUGGCUGUGGUAUAGGCGUGCAGCUGUCAUUCGGAUUUGACCCCAAGCCUGGGAACAUCCAUGUGCUAUCGAUGUGGCCCUAAAAAAACCAAAAAAAAAAAAGAAGAAAGAGAGAAAGAAACCAUGUUUGGCAAAAAAUUAAAAUUCCUAAAGAAAACUGUCAUGUUCAGAAAAGAGUUGACAGUGACUAGUUUGCUUUGGGACAUCAAAGUUCCCCCAGAAAGGCCUAGAACAUUCUUUACAGAGAUGCUCCAGCAUGAUUAGAUAUCCUGUUUACAGCAAAUACUAUGAUAGAUUUUGCAACUGCUGUUGGUGAUCUCUGUCAAAGAAAGUAUGGGGUCAAAAUAAAAUAUUUAACUUUUUAACCUCUUCUUCAGCUUUCUCCACCAAGAGACCAUUCCUAUCGUAUUAGUCACCUCUUGUAUCCCCCUUCAAAUCCUCUCAGCCUUACCUUUCUCUUUGGCCUUUGGCCUCUUGUUCCCGCUCAGCCAAUAUCAUGGCAGCCAACUUUGUAUAAAUUCAACCAACUGCACUUGGGCAAAACAAUAGCACCCCACUUCACCUAUCUCUCACUUCCUGACCUGUGGCUUUCCUGUUGAUGCUGAGGUGUGAUACAUUCACUGCCUGCACAUAUAUACACAAUUAGGAAGUACAGGGAGAUUAAGAACCAGUGGGGAAAACCUUCACCCAAAGGGAGACAGGAGGCAACAAGUAAUUCCUCCUUCCUCAUCCUGGAAUCAGUCACUCUUAAUAAACACUCUCACAUUGUAUUUCCCUCCUUCCCUGCCUCACUCCUCUUCCCCCUUCUUGCUGUUCUCUGGAAAUUGCCCUCCCUGAUAAAGUAGUAGCACAGAAGCCUCAGGCUCUGCUUUCUAAGCAACACUGCAUUUGUUUUUCAUCGCUGUGUAACAAAUUGCCACAAAUGCAGCAGCUUAAAAACAAUGUCAGGUUACAGUUCUGCAGGUCUGAAGUUUUCUGUGGUGUGGCUGGGUUUAUUACUCAGGUUCUCGCAAGAUUGAAAUCAAGGUGUAGCCCAAGCUGUGUUCUCAUCAGGAGCUUGGAGUCUUCUUCCAGGCUUACCUGAUUGCAGAAGAAUUUGUUCCUCACAGGUGCAGGACUGAGGUUCCCAUUUCUUUGCUGGCUGUGGCGGGGGAGGGGGGGGGACUAUUCUCAGCAACUAGAGAGUACCUUCAUUCUUGUGCUUCGCAUCUCUCCAACCUCUGUUUCUGAUCUCUAAACCCAGAUUUAAAUGGCUCAUGUGAUCAGGUCAGGCCUCCAUGGACAAUGCUCUUAUCUUAAGGUCAGCUGAUUUGGAAGCUACAUCUGCAAAAUCCCUUUGGCCAUAUAAUGUACCAUAUUUACAGAUUCCAUUCCCCACCCCAAAGUGGAUGUGAUUUUACAAAGACUAGGGUCACUGGGGAUCAUCUUAGAAUUCUCCCCAUCACAGAGACAGCUGGUACCAAAAAUGGCCCUAGAAAAAGCAGACCCUUAGGAUGACAUUGUGGUGAUGGAGUACUCGAUAAUCUGAAAGCAAUAGGGUUCAAAUUACCAGUGGUAAAUGGAGUAGAAAUUCCUGGCAUGCAAUGGCAUCACAUGUGCUAAGGCUUUCCCCUGAAUUUAAUUGGUAUUACAUGGAGAUGGAAGGUGAGGCAAAGGAUAUGCAACAGCCAUGGUGCUUGAAAAGCACGGGAGCAAAUGUGACUAGACAAACUGUAGAUAGGCCUCGAUAGCAGAAUUGGAAGCUUUGAAAAAAUAAAAUGAUAGACUCACACUGACCCACUGCCAAUUCAAAGCCUGCUUUGAAAGCCAGAGGGCCUCUGAGGUAACUCUGAAGAAUAUUCUCAUCUCCUGUCACCAAAACGCAGAGCUGCUAGGGAGACAAGUCCAGUGUCUCAUUCUUAGUGGUAGAAGGAUGAGGCAAGACCUCUGGUUUUUUAUCUUAUGGGGAAAUCUUGGCACUCUCUAGAUCACUGGAUCCCUAAAAACUUCACAGUAGUUCUCUCUCUUUCUCUGGUAUGGAGAUUCUACUAGAGUAUACAUGGUACUUUCUACUUCCUGCUCACCAGAUCCAUUUAGCAGGAUGCUUUGUGACAAUCUGAUGAUUGCCCUGUGGUAGAAAGUGGGAGCAUUUACUCAGUACCAGGGCAGGAGCAUUGAAUGUUCACUGCUGUCCUUCUCACAUGUGGGUGAACUACCUUUGAUCCCCCCUUUUUAGGGGCGAUGAGGAAAUAUGAAUUCAACAGCUACUUAUCAAGUGUAAGAGGCUGUGUUGACCUGAACUGAUAAAGAUACUACGUGAAGGCCAGUACGUACAAUUGAGAGUAAUACCUGGUUAAGUCUUUGAGAGUCCAUCCAGAUUUUGCAGCAAAAUGAAAGGGAAAAUGACAGUAACCACAACACCUAUGUCUCUUAAGUCUUUCAGGUUAAUGCCAAUCUCUGCAAUCCCUCCUGGCAUGCAGUAUGCUGCUGACUUAUUAUCUUGAUGAGGGGGCAGAAUAGUGGGGAGGAGAAGUUUCAGAAGCUUUCACUUGACCUUUCCUACUCUAAUGGCCCUUACCCUACUGGUUAGGGAAACAGUGUGAGGAUUUUUGCAAUGCUAGGUACAUCUACCCUCAGGGACUGAGCAAUAACAAGAAGACAGGUUACAGAUCCAUUAGAUCCACUGUGAGAUAGACUUGGUACAGAGCUCCACUUGACACAUGACCUCCAAAAGCACCCACUCUAUCCAGAGAUCUCUGACAGUGUUUGGUUUCCCUGGAUCAUUGUUAACCUGGAACUUAUAUCUAACUGUCUUUGAAUCUGAGUAUGCCACUUUUUCCCAGUAUAGAACUACCCAGGAAAAUGUCUACAAGGCCCUCCAGGGAAAGAGAGGGGAAAAUAUUUACCUAUACCUUGUGUAAUGUUAUAAGAUCCUUCCUUAAAAGGACCUGGCCUCUCUUUCAAAGAAAAGAAUAUGGAUCUGUGAAUUGACUUAUAUCUGGAAACUGGGUGCCAUAUUUUUCUUUUGCAGUGACUAAAAUAAGCCUUCUACAUAACAGUUCUCAUUCCUUUUUUUCUUUUCUUUCUUUCUUUUCUUUCUUUCUUUUUUUUAAUGGCCUCACUUGCAUCACAUGGAAGUUCCCAGGCUAGGGGUCAAAUCAGAUCUGCAGCAGCAAGGCUCUGCCACGGCCAUAGCAAUGCCAGAUCUGAGCCACAUCUGUGACCUAUGUCAUAGCUUGCAGCAAUGCCAGACCCUUAACCCACUAUGCGAGGCCAGGGAUCAAACCCACAUCCUCAUAGAGACUAUGUCAGGUUCUUAACCCACUAAGCCACAACAGGAACUCAACUCUUUUUUUAUAUUGGCAAGAUGAGUACUAUCUUAUCUCUAAGAACAUCAAGUUCUAUUAAGCCCUCACCAGAGAUACCUGCAGGUCAGAGCACCCUAACUGCCACUCUGGUCUUGUUUUCCUUUGAUACUUAGGUGCCCUUUUUCCUUGGACCAUCAAGUAUCACCAUCUGACCUCUACCAUUCUGGAAUGCCAUUAUUCUCACUGAUAUUAAAAGAUGUUGGAGUUCCCUCAGUGCACAGUGGAAAUGUAUCCGACUAGGAACUAUGAGGCUGUGGGUUCCAUCCCUGGCCUUGCUCAGUGGGUUAAGGAUCCAGCGUUGCCAUGAGCUGUGGUAUAGGUCGCAGACAUGGCUUGGAUCCCGAGUUGCUAUGGCUCUAGUGUAGGCUGGUGGCUACAGCUCUGAUUAGACCCCUAGCCUGGGAACCUCUAUAUGCCAUGGGGGGAGGCCAAAAAAAAAAAAAAAAAAAGAUGUAAAGGUAAUAUAGCCUACAGAGGAUGACCACAAUUGAGUUUCUCAAAGACAGUUCCACUGUCACCACUUGUCUUAAUAAAGGGACUCUUCUCAGGAUCCUCAACAACAUUAUCAGGUGGUAGGUUUUCAUGGUUUUCCCUGACCUCUGACCCAUUAUGUCAAAGCAGCUCAGUAUCUUCACCUCAUUGUGGUCAACUCUGAAUCAAGGAGCAUUGAACAGAUUUUAUUUAUUUAUAUAUUUUUUUUAUUUUUAUUUAUUUAUUUAUUUUUUUUUGCUUUGUAGGGCUGCACCCAUGGCAUAUGGAAGUUCCCAGGCUAGGGGCCGAAUCAGAGCUGCAGCUGCCUUCCUACACCACAGCCACAGAAACAACAGAUCCUUAACACACCGAGCGAGGCCAGGGGUUGAAUUCAUAUCCUCAUGGAUACUAGUUGGGUUCGUUACCACUGAGCCACAACAGAAACUCUGAACAGAUGAUUUAGAUAACUUUAUGUGUCCUUCACACAACACUGAAACUCCACUCAAUAAACUUUCACUUAUUCAGACUCAUAUUCUGCCUUCCAUGGUCCAAUUCCCUCAAGAGUUACUCCCUAACAUGUUCCCCUCGUUCCUGCUCAGACAUAUGAAUCAGGCCCAGCAAUUUCUCCAGUGCAUAAGCUGCUUUCUCCUGAAGCAAAGACUGUCCUUCUCUGUUUGGGCUGUGCUAGCACCUGACCCUCAUUACUGGGCUGAAGAGGUAGAUACUGGUGAGAAUGGAGGCACCUGCCUGAGGUAAGCUAAACACAUUGUCUCCCAACAAGUGAAGGAUCUUUUCUUCAGCAAGGAGAAUAAGGAUGUUUUUUGCCAAUCCAGUAGUUUAAAAUGGUUUGAAGAUUCAGGAUUCUCAGGCUUGUUUGCCC
rnacentral:lncRNA from 1 species